GGUGCGGUAGCCAAGUGGUAAGGCCAGGGUCUGCAAAACCCUCAUUCGUCGGUUCGAUCCCGACCCGCACCUCCA
rnacentral:tRNA from 1 species